UACGUAGGGGGCAAGCGUUGUCCGGAUUUAUUGGGCGUAAAGAGCGUGUAGGCGCCAGGUAGGUCGGUUGUGAAAACUCGAGGCUCAACCUCGAGAUGUCGACCGAAACCAUCUGGCUAGAGUCCGGAAGAGGAGAGUGGAAUUCCUGGUGUAGCGGUGAAAUGCGCAGAUAUCAGGAAGAACACCAAUGGCGAAAGCAGCUCUCUGGGACGGUACUGACGGCUGAGACGCGAAAGCGUGGGGAGCGAACAGG
rnacentral:rRNA from 1 species